UACGUAGGGUGCAAGCGUUGUCCGGAAUUAUUGGGCGUAAAGAGCUCGUAGGUGGUCUGUCGCGUCUGCUGUGAAAAUCCGGGGCUCAACCCCGGACUUGCAGUGGGUACGGGCAGACUAGAGUGUGGUAGGGGAGACUGGAAUUCCUGGUGUAGCGGUGAAAUGCGCAGAUAUCAGGAGGAACACCGAUGGCGAAGGCAGGUCUCUGGGCCACUACUGACGCUGAGAAGCGAAAGCAUGGGGAGCGAACAGG
rnacentral:rRNA from 1 species